rnacentral:rRNA from 1 species
AUGAGGCGAUCUUCUUCGUCGUCCUGGCUCGCAAGCGCCGUGGUCCUCCUGCCUAUUAUCGCAUGGUGCUUCCUGCUGCCAUGCUGCGCCGCCAGGCCCAAAGGGUUUAAUUUAACCUGGUGGCGUGGACGAGGAAUACAGCCGCAAUCACCUAUGCCCGGGAAAUCGAGGGGACAGAACGAUGACUACGCUCCGUUGCCACAACUUGCGUCGCCCGGGCCGCCGAAGCAACAUUACUGCCCGGGGUGUGGCCACGACUACGCUCCACCGCCCUCGGUGGGUACGGCACUUGAGUCGCCCGGGCCGCCGAAGCAACAUCACUGCCUGGAAUGUGACCAUGCCUACGGUCUGCCUCCCGCAGGUACGCCAAUUGUGGCGCCCGGGCCACCGAAGCAACAGGACUGCCCGGGGUGUGCACAUGACUACCUUCUGCCGCACACGGCAGGUACUGCACUUGCGGCACCAUAA